rnacentral:rRNA from 1 species
GACGAACGCUGGCGGCGUGCUUAACACAUGCAAGUCGAACGAAGUGGCGAACGGGUGAGUAACGCGUAAUCAACCUGCCCUUCAGCUGGGUACAACAGUUGGAAACGACUGCUAAUACCGCAUACUGAAGGUGGGGAUUGUGUCUGUUUAGCUAGUUGGAGGGGUAACGCACCACCAAGGCGAUGAUCAGUAGCCGGUCUGGGAGGAUGAACGGCCACAGUGUGACUGAGACACGGCCCAAACUCCUACGCGAGGCAGCAGUAGGGAAUCUUCCGCAAGUGCCGCAAGCCUGACGGAGCAACGCCGCGUGAGUGAAGAAGGUUUUCGGAUCGUAAAGCUCUGUUGUAAGAGAAGCGUUAUCUUACCAGAAAGCCACGGCUAACUACGUGCCAGCAGCCGCGGUAAUUC